GAAGCAGGCUCCAUGCAGGGGGCUGGAUGCGGGACUCGAUCCCGAGUCUCCAGGAUCAUGCCCCGGGCUGAAGGCGGCAUUAAACUGCUGAGCCACCCGGGCUGCCCAGUAUCUGUUUUGUCAGAGUGGAUUCAUUUAAGCUAGGAGUUAGAGCUCCGCCUCAGACACCAGACUUCUAGAUCUGAGUCCCUGCACACUACUGACUGGCUGACCUCUGUGCUCCACCUUCCUCUCUGGGCGAGUGAUCAUGACAGCUACUCCUGGGGUUGGGGGGAUUAAAUGCGUUAACACAUAUCAGAAUGAUUAGAACAGAGCCUGACAUGGAACACUCUAAGGUUUACUAUCACUGUUAUUUGUAUAUCAAAGUAAUUCAGUAGAGUUUAGUUGUCAUUUAAAUGAGAUAAAUCCUGGGGGCAACUAGGUGGCUCAGUGGUUGAGCAUUGCGGACUGAACCAAGGGCACUUUUCCACUUUUUCCUCGUGCACUGUUAGAUCCUCCUGUCAGUCUAGAAGGACCUCUGAACCCUGGACUGGAAACCCCGUUGGAUUGGGAGCUCAGCCCAACAGAAGCAGAGCUCAGACCAAGAGGAGCUCACCCGGGGCCUAAGAAAUGAUGCAGGUCAGGGAGCCUAGGAGGAUGAGUCAGGCCCACCCACGGACCUCUGCAAAUGCCUCUGGAUGAUGAGACAAGCUUCGGGAGGCUGGGACUCUCCUGUCCUGAGUCCCUGACACCUGGAACGGGGCCAGCACACGGGGCCAGGUGGAGGAACUGAGGCCAGAGAGGGGAAGCAAUUCAUCCUGGUCACAGAGGAAGUUAGUGACAGACAUUGGACUCACACUCACUGCACCCCCUGGGGGUUUGGCUUCUCUUCUCUUUCAUUCUUGCCCUCCCGCCUUUCCCUUCCACAGUUCUCCAGCUAACCUUUCUCCAGUGCCACUGGGGCCAGGUCAUUGCCACUCUGAGCAGACCCUCAGAGCUGCCUGCUUCUCCUUGCACACCCUGUCCCUGCCACAGACCCUGCUACUCCUCUACAGCUCACCAUGCCCACGCUGCCCCCACACCAAUGAGAUCAAGAUGUCUGGGGAUGGGGUACAGGCCCCAGUAUAUUUUAAGGAUCCUGGGGUGUUCUCAUUCACAGCAGGGUUUGGGAACCACUGGGUCAGCUUUCAUUAAUGGCACCUCCACCUCCUGUCCCAGAGCCCAAGGCUGCAGAUCAGUGACUCUUUUCUUUUUUCCAAAUUUACUUUCCAGAUUCAUGGGUCCCAUGAGCAAUCCUAUGUCCCUCCUGCUCCUGCUCUUUGCCCAGACCUGGGCCCCUACUCUACCUGGAUUGCCUGGGCUGACCUGCCUCACUAUCACUAGGCACUCACUCAAUAUUUGCAGUUGAUGUUGGCCAAGAGGAUCUUUGGCAUAAAUGAAGGGAAAGGGCUUUGGGGUCAGGAAAACUUGGAUUCUAAUACUCUCCAGUUCCACUUACUGUCUGGGCCUCAGUUUAUUCAUCUGUGAAGGCAGAUGGGGUGGGGUGGGGGUGUGUUUGUGUGUGUGAGAAUGCCUGCCUUGUAGUUUGUUGUAAGGAUCAAAGAUACUACCUAGUGGGCCCAGCAGCUCACAAACCAGCUGCUCUGGGGACAGGCUGCCCUUGCCUUGAUGCUGGGGAGCGGUGACUACUUCCAUGGGUGGGAAGCAAGGUGGCUGUGAGCCUUCUGAUAAGGACCUUGCCCACAGGGUUUCUUCUAGGACAGGGCAACUGCAGCAGAGCAGUGAAUUAGGGGGGAAGCAGAAGCUGAGGGGUAGGGGUCAUGAGAGAUCAGCUAGGGAGUACCACCACUCUGCCUGAGAAUGUGGGGUGAGGUGCCUGGUGGGAGGUUCCCUUGGGAACCCACCAAAUGCCCCGUGGGGACAGAAUCAGCAUUUGAGUGUCUGCUAUGCCCAGAGGUGCCAAUGCCUAAUGGUAACCACACUAAUCAACUUUUUCUAGCCCUGUCUCUUUCUCUGAGCUAUCAGGGAGGAGAAGCUUGAGACCAAAUAGAACACGAAAACAUUGAGAGCAAAUAGGACCAGACUAUUUAUUUAUUAGAGAGAGAGAGCACAAGCAGGGGGAGGAGCAGAAGGAGAGGGAGAAGCAGGCUCCUCGCUGAGCCGGAAGCCUGACAUGGUGCUCGAUCCCAGGGCCCUGGGAUCAUGACCUGAGCUGGAGGCAGACACUUAACCAACUGACCCACCCAGGUGCCCCAGGACCAGACUUUUUAAUACAUAGGAGAUGAGCCUGUGCCUUGUACUGUGUACCCCCAGGAUGGAGAAGCCACAGAAGCAUCUUAAGCAGAUGCAGGUGUCCCCAGAGAGCUAACAGGGCUCUGGCGAGAAAGAAUCGAGGGGCCUACCUGUGCCACACUGUCUAGCUCGUUCAAUAGCUGCUUCCCCUGGGGUUUGUCUGUGAACCCCGUCUGUGCCGGGCAUUGAUGGGCUGCUAUCAGAUGCCCAUGUGGCCUGGCAAGGCCCUUUCUUUCUCUGGCCUCAGUUUCUCUAGCUGUGAAAUGCCUCCUUUUCUGCGGGUCAUGCCAGACUUUGCCAGUCUGUAAAAAGAUCCAAGGUCUCUCCAUUCCAAGUGGGAAAAUUAAAUGUGUC